UCGAGCGGAGCACUUUGGAGCUUGCUCCAUAGUGUGCUUCAGCGGCGGACGGGUGAGUAACACGUGGGCAACCUGCCCUGCAGAUCGGGAUAACUCCGGGAAACCGGUGCUAAUACCGAAUAGUUUGCGGCCUCUCCUGAGGCUGCACGGAAAGACGGUUUCGGCUGUCACUGCAGGAUGGGCCCGCGGCGCAUUAGCUAGUUGGUGGGGUAAUGGCCCACCAAGGCGACGAUGCGUAGCCGACCUGAGAGGGUGAUCGGCCACACUGGGACUGAGACACGGCCCAGACUCCUACGGGAGGCAGCAGUAGGGAAUCUUCCGCAAUGGACGAAAGUCUGACGGAGCAACGCCGCGUGAGUGACGAAGGUUUUCGGAUCGUAAAACUCUGUUGUGAGGGAAGAACAAGUACCAACUAACUACUGGUACCUUGACGGUACCUCACCAGAAAGCCACGGCUAACUACGUGCCAGCAGCCGCGGUAAUACGUAGGUGGCAAGCGUUGUCCGGAAUUAUUGGGCGUAAAGCGCGCGCAGGCGGUCCCUUAAGUCUGAUGUGAAAGCCCACGGCUCAACCGUGGAGGGUCAUUGGAAACUGGGGGACUUGAGUGCAGAAGAGGAAAGUGGAAUUCCAUGUGUAGCGGUGAAAUGCGCAGAUAUC
rnacentral:rRNA from 1 species